AACUGAUUUCCCGUCUGGACGCACCCACCCUUUAGUUUGUUCCUGGAAGGUUGAGGUGAGCAAUACAAAUUGCAAUCGCGGCCUAGUCACGAUGACAGUAGACGAACUGAGCCGGUUGUCGGAUGAAGAGGGAUGUCUCAAUGGAUAUUAUCGAGUGUCUCCGUUUAUGAAAGAAGCCAAAAUUUGUGGACGUAUUGGAACUGUUCCGCCUUUCCAAUGGCACGUUGACGACCAACAAACUGAAAAUGUCACCAUUAAUUUGAAGCAUAUCGGCCUCAACGAUGGGGAUUCUGAAGGGCUGUCGUUUACAUUAACA